rnacentral:lncRNA from 1 species
CGCCCACCUGGCCGCCUGGGCCGGGGGCCCGCCGGGCCGGCACCUGCCCCGCCCGAACGAGGCGCGGAAAACCCGCGGCUUCCCUGCGCCCGGCAUCCGCUCCGCGACCGCAGCUCCUCCCCCGGGCAAGAAAUAGAUUGAAUACAAUAGGAUGCUUGUGAGAGAUGCAAGCGGGCAGGGACAUCAGCCCUGACAAAGCUCCUAAUUUCAAGCCUAAGGAAGUGCUUCUUUCCUCUGGUGAAGAAGCUGCUCUGUCUGCAUCUCUGUCUCUGUCUCUCUCUGCGGCAUGAAGAUCCAGGGCUCAAGACACCUUCUCAGGCUGGUGAAAUUGAAGAUGCUCUUGUUACAUAAACAUGACUCUCUCUCUGGACAGUGUCACGGACAGUCCUCUCUGGACUUAGAAAAUGGAACAACUGUGCCUGGCUGCUCUCAAAGCUCCCAGCCAUAAUGACGCAGGAUAUGUUUUCUUGAGCCUUUUUGGAGCUCGUUUAUUAAUUUCCUGUAUUUACCCAUGUUACUCUGGGGAAAGAGAACCAGCAAGUAAGCCUGGUUUGCCUUCUCAGUAUCAACGAGAAUGAUCAUUAAUGAUCACGUUUAUUGCUAGCAGUGCAAAGAGCAUAGACUGGGAGUAAUGAGCCCUGGACUCCAGGGGUGGUUCUUGGGACAAGUCACCUCAUAUCCUUGGACCCUCGGGUUCCUUAUCCAAAAUGAAAGGGUUGGAACAGAUGAUUUUUUAAAGGACUUGUUCAGUGGUAAAACUUCCCACACCAGUCUUCGAAGGGCACACAUUUUUCCUCCCUAGAUUUCAGCCAGGAAUGGAUAUAAUCAGCGACAUGUAACUCAAGAUGCAGGAAGGCAUCCGCUGCUGCUGUUAAGGGAUAGUUUUCUGGAGGGGGACGGACUAGUCAGGCAGCAUCUUCCCUGGGCAACUGUGUCUUCUGCAUCCACUGCGGUAGAUCCAUCACUGCGCUAGAACCAUCCAUUGUGAUAGAACCAUCCGUUGUGAUAGAACCAUCCAUUGCGAUAGCACCAUCCAUUGUGAUAGCACCAUCCAUUGUGAUAGAACCAUCCAUUGCGAUAGCACCAUCCAUUGUGAUAGAACCAUCCGUUGUGAUAGAACCAUCCAUUGCGAUAGAACCGUUCCUCUACUAAGGCAUUGGCAGGAGCCUUCUGUAGAACUCUGCCCUUGACGUACCCUGAGACAUAGGUGUCUGCGGUCAGAGUCAUCCGGAACACUAUGGUCCUCUGGAGAGUCACAGCACCUCUUAAUAUGUUGAGGGAUCUGAGAGGUCCUGCAUGAAAACACCUGUUAACUUUGCUGAACCUAGCAUUUCUCUGACUUCAUUUACCAGGGAGCUCCUUUCUUUGUCACAUCUACCAGCAUUCCAGGAAGAAAAAAAAUAUCUCGAAGAGACUAUUUGAAUUGUUAUUCUAGAAAAGCCUUUAGACCUUCCUAAGAGUUUCCGCCUUGGGAGAGAGAGGGAAUUAUAACCCCUGUUAGCUAGUUUGAUGACUGUCUACCAAGAUGAGCCUUCUUGAUAGAUGUGGUCUGCAGGGAUUGUCCUCAUAAGCAGCCACACUGGAGUGUCCAUCACCCAUCAGGGCACAAGGAAGACCCGUCUUCGCUGGUAUCAGCCUUGUUCCGUUAUGCUGAGGAGUAUUCCCUCGCCUUUACAUGCUUGCAUUAACCUCCAGAUUCGUUGGCAUCCUUCUUUAUUAUUAUUUUAUUAUUUUUUCUUUUUACCGCUGUACCGGAGGCCUAUGGAAGUUCCCGGAGCAGGGGCUGAACUGGAGGGGCAGCAGCAGGCCGCCGUCACAGCCGUGGCAACCCAGAUCUGAGCUGUGUCUGUGACCUACACUACAGCUCAAGGCAAUACCAGAUCCUCAGCCCAUGGAGCGAGGCCAGGGAUCGAACCUGUGUCCUCAUGGAUACUAGUCAGGUUCUAAACCCACUGAACCACAACAGGUACUCCCUCUUUUUAGACAUAGUAUAAGACAAACAUCUGUUCUGAGCCCUCACAGGGGUAGCAUAGAAUGGUUUAUUAAUGCUCAUUGGGAGACAAUGCUUCACGGGUCUCCAGUAUUUUUACACAUCUUGUGAGCAAGACACGCACUGCCCUUUCUUCCAGACUAGAUGUUCAAGGAUAUUUGUAGAUAUUUUGAAAAUAAAGAUACGAGUUCGGUUAUGGCUCAGCAGCAAUGAACCCAACCAAUAUCCACAAGGAUGUGGGUUCAAUUGCUGGCCUCACAGCUCGGGUCAAGGAUCCCGAGUUGCCGUGGCUGUGGUGUAGGUCACAGACACAGCUCCGAUUUGACCCCUAGCCUGGGAACUUGCAUAUGCCACAGGUGCGGCCCUAAAAAG